UGAUUCCAAGUUUUGUCGUGACUGAUGC
rnacentral:sRNA from 1 species